CGGGACCAGGGUUGAAGGCCGCCAUUGCAGACACUCGGGAGGGAUGUCGUCCCGUUCCACAUCUUGCCACGACGAGUCCUGGACCCUGGCAUACCCUGGACGCUCUGACUCGACUAGAGGAAGAACCUGUGCCUCUCCAGCCUGGCCUAGCUGGCAUCUAAAGUGUACGGUGACGACAGACACUUUCUUCAAGCACUGCCUUCACCAGAUGACCUCAACUGACCCCAGAUGACCUUUACCGAACUCCAGGUGACCUCAAUUAACCUCAGCUAAUCCAGUGACUCGUGUGGAUCACCUUCUACACUACAGCGUUGGUGGAGAGCGCCCGUUCACCCUUCAGUACUAGUUAAAUGGGCCCCAGUCCUGAUAGACCCCUGUCGUAAUUGUGCCCUUUCGUAAUUGGGUCCCGUCUUGAUAGGUCACUAGUCACAAUAGGUCCCCAGUCAUGAUAGGCCCCCAGUAUUAAUAGACUUCAGUUGUAAUAGGCCCUCAAUUUAAGCUAACCUAUCCAUGAAAAUUGCGACCGAGUCUAAAUGGAUGCCAGUACCAUUUGAAACCUAAUCCUGAUGAUUUUGUUCAAUUUGGAGUGGGACUUAUAAGAACUGGGGCCCAUUAAAAUUGGGCUCGAUUAAGACUCGGGUCUCUUAGAACUUGGGCUUAAUAAGACUGGACUAGGAACUAUUAAGACUAUUUGACUAGCAUUACAUCAGGCAGAACUAAUAUAUAAAUACCUUUAUAUAAUACACCUGCAUUGUACCGCAACUGCAGCUACAUAACCAAGUACAGGUGUGUUGCAUAGGUAAUCAGUCAGGCUUUCCCCCCAUCCUCCCCACCACCCUCGCCCUCGUAUGGUCCUUGAAGACAGCACUCGAGCCGAUCAAUUGCAUUCAAGUCGACCAAUCAAUCAACACCUACCGCCGCAGAGUUGACGUAAGCCUCAACUUCCAACCUGGAGUUGCCGCAAUUCACCCGCUACCUGUACGAACCAGCUACCUGCAUUAUCCACACCCGUAAACU